rnacentral:rRNA from 1 species
CGAAUCCAGAAAAUAAUGUCCCAGUUCAGAUUGCAGGCUGCAACUCGCCUGCAUGAAGUCGGAAUUGCUAGUAAUCGCAGAUCAGCAUGCUGUGGUGAAUACGUUCCCGGGCCUUGUACACACCGCCCGUCACACCAUGGGAGUUGGAGAUACCCGAAGCCUAUGAGCUAACUUUUAGAGGCAGUAGUCGAAGGUAGAAUCAAUGAUUGGGGUGAAGUCGUAACAAGGUAUC